rnacentral:tRNA from 1 species
GCGGGAAUAGCUCAGUUGGUAGAGCACGACCUUGUCGGGGUCGCGAGUUCGAGUCUCGUUUCCCGCU